UGGAUGAAAAUACCCCCAACUUUGGCCGGUCCGCUUUUAAUACUCCCAACUAUGUGUUAUUUUUAAAUACCCCCAACUAUGGGGGUGGUACGCCUAAAAUACCCCGCUGACCUAUUACCACCGGAAGAACUGGUAAAAAAAGGCACGUGCCUUAGUCGUGCCUAAAAUUACCUGGUUAAUGGACCAACUGUCCAUAUUUAAUUUUUGACCGUUAUUUUCUCCAUUAAAAUCCCACCCCCCACACAUCUCUCCUCAUCUCCCUGCUCACAUCUCUCCUCAUCUCUCUACUCCUCUCUCUACUCAUAUCUCUUCCUGCGUUCUUCAAUGGCGUCGAACACCACAACUGGCUCUUCUUCUUACAGGUCUAGGUCCACAAGGUCGAAAAGUGGUGGUCAGAUGGUGUGUUAUCAUCAACAAAUUCGCCCAUUAGGGUUGUUAGGGUUGAAGGGCCAACAAAAGGAAAACGGUUUUAUGGCUGCGCUUAUUGGCCUGCAACCUGUGGGUUCUUCAAAUGGGCAGAUGAGUUGGAUGAUGUGGGUGAACUCCAACAUGGGAUAUUUGUAAGGGAUGGGUUUAUUCAAGAACUUGAAGAUCAGAAUAUUUUGCUGAGAGAGAAAAUAAAGAAGUUGAAAAUGAAGCAGGAAAAGUUGGUGGAUGAAGUUGAGGAAAUGGGUAUUGCCACAACUGAAACUCUGUAUGAGUUGAAAUCCAACACCACUGAGAAGAAGUUGUUGUUUGGGUUGUUCAUGUCUUGGGUUUUUUUUGCAAUUAUGUUCUUGUUGAAGUAAUGUAUGUGGAGUUGUAGGAGAAGGCAGUUUUUGGUUGGGGUAGGAAGGUGUAAUGUAUGUGAAGUUGGGGUAGAAUUUUGGUUGGGGUAGGAAGUUUAAGCUUGUGUCUUGCUGGUCUUUUGGCCCUUUUUGUGUAAUAGACAGCAAAGACAAUGAUGUAAUGGUUUUUGAAUGAUCUUGAAAUCAACAUGAAUUCUAUUGGAA